AUACUUACCUGGCAUGAUCAGGGAGGUGGUUUUCCCAGGGUGAGGCUUACUUGAUGCACUUUGGAUGUGCUGACCCCUGCAAGUUCCCCAGGUACAGAAAGCUUGACUGAAUAAUUUGUGGUAGUAAGGGACUGAAUGGCAUUUUCCUCG
rnacentral:snRNA from 11 species